CUAUUAAUGCCUUGAGAACCGCUCUCAUUUCUCUCAGAUUCGAAUGAAGUUUUGACUCCUUCCACGACCAAGUUCCUUGAAUCCAAGAGUUGUUCAGGUGUGCUCCCCAUCCCAGGAGGCUGGCAUCUGUAGUUAUAGUUAUCCAAACCGGCUCUUCCAGGGGAAAACCACAAAGGAGGUUUUUUCUUUUGUCCACCAAUACAGCUCUUUCGAAAUUCUCGGGAGAAAACGAAUCUUCUGAUCCCAAUUUCCG